rnacentral:rRNA from 1 species
UACGUAGGUGGCAAGCGUUGUCCGGAAUUAUUGGGCGUAAAGCGCGCGCAGGCGGUCCUUUAAGUCUGAUGUGAAAGCCCACGGCUCAACCGUGGAGGGUCAUUGGAAACUGGGGGACUUGAGUGCAGGAGAGAAGAGUGGAAUUCCACGUGUAGCGGUGAAAUGCGUAGAGAUGUGGAGGAACACCAGUGGCGAAGGCGACUCUUUGGCCUGGAACUGACGCUGAGGCGCGAAAGCGUGGGGAGCAAACAGG